CCUACGGGUGGCAGCAGUGGGGAAUAUUGCGCAAUGGGCGUAAGCCUGACGCAGCGACGCCGCGUGCGGGAUGAAGGUCUUCGGAUCGUAAACCUCCGUCUGCAGGGAAGAACGGUCACUGUGCUAAUCAGCUGUGUAUUGACGGUACCUGCAAAGGAAGCACCGGCUAACUCCGUGCCAGCAGCCGCGGUAAUACGGAGGGUGCGAGCGUUAAUCGGAAUUACUGGGCGUAAAGCGCUCGUAGGCGGUAUGUCAAGUCAAGGGUGAAAUCCCCGCGCUCAACGUGGGAACUGCAUUUGAAACUGGCAAGCUGGAGUGUGUGGGAGGAUAGUGGAAUUCCAGGUGGAGGAGUGAAAUCCGUAGAUAUCUGGAGGAACAUCAGUGGCGAAGGCGACUAUCUGGCACAUAACUGACGCUGAGGAGCGAAAGCGUGGGUAGCAAACAGGAUUAGAUACCCGAGUAGUC
rnacentral:rRNA from 1 species